GGAGUUGCUCGCCAUCAAGCUGGCCCUGGAGGAGUGGCAGCAUUGGCUGGAGGCGGGCGAGAACCCUGUGGUGGUGUGGACAGAUCACAAGAACUUGGCGUAUCUCCAAGCAGCGAAGCAUCUCAAUGCUCGGCAAGCCAGGUCUGUUUUUUACCUGUUUCAAUCUCAUUAUUACAUACAUGCCUGGGUCCCACAACACCAAAGCAGACGCACUGUCACGCCAGUUCGCACCGGAUCCCGAUGAUGAGGGAAUCAGCCCAUCCUCCCGCCUUCGUGUUUUGUUGGAGCUUUAAUGUGGGAGAUAAAGAAGCUCAUAAGGGAGCAGGAACCCGACCCAGGAACAGGCCCAGAGGGCAAGCUGUUUGUCCCUGCAUCAGAGUAGGGUGCUCCAGUGGGCCUACACCGCACAUUUCGGCUGUCAUCUGGUUAGGAACCUCACCAUCACUUUCCUUCAGCAAUCCUUCUGGUGGCCUACUCUGAUGCAGGGAGUAUGUCGUUGACUGUCCUGUGUGUACUCAGAAUAAGGCACCGAAUUCGCCUCCUGCUGGCCUCCUGCAACCACUCCCCAUGCCCAAGUGACCCUGGUCGCACAUUGCACUGGACUUUGUCACCGGACUGCCCCCGUCAUCAGGUGAGACCAGUCCGGACCAGCCCGUUGUGCCUGCCCCCUGGGUCCCCACCAUCUCUGACAAGUUUGGAACAAAGAAGGAGAAGGAUUAUGAGCAUGGGGAAAGAGGGAGGGAGGAACGGAGAUUCACUGUCACGCACCACUUGAGCACGGGGAAGAGGACACCAAUGCUCACUUGCACAUUGAACAAUUGUAACCUUUAUCACUGUAAAUAAACGCACUGUUGUUCAUUCAGAGCUCCGUGCCAGGGUCCACUCAUUCACCCCCGGUGACAGCAAUGACAUACACACCCUGAGGUUCUCAGAACAAGCAGAUUGAGCUUGAAAAGAAAGACUUAGCAGCAGCUUUCUCUCUCACAAGACUGAUCAGCAAUUUGAGUUCAUGAUGCAGCUUUAUGGAGCUCUGAUCCUGUGUGUGACUCUGUCUGCAGCAUGUGGAUUAAAAUGCUACACAUGUGCAGCUGCAGAUCCUAAAUCCUGCACAGACACCACAUCUUGUGCAUUCAUCUUCAACCGUUGUUUCUCUGGCAGAGUAGAUGGUCUUAAUGUAGUUACAAAGGGCUGCCUAAACAGUGUAGCAUGUGUUUGGCCUAUGUCUUGCUGUGAAGGGGACCUGUGUAACAGCACUAUUCCAACUGGUCCCAGUGCCAUCCUGCUGCUGGUAUCUUCAGCCAUCCUCAAAUUUCUUUUCUGAGCCUGUAGAAUGAUGUUGUUUCCAUACUGCAUUUUUUCGUAUUCUAUUUUGUACAACUAGAGAAGAAAAUAAAGAAAAUAAAAAACAUAAAAAUGCCAUGAUAUGAAAUAAAAAUGUCAUUGCUAUUUUGAUCUGUCAUUUAAAGUAAUCCUGUCACAGCCCUGGAUCGGUGACCCAGUGUUUUAUGUAUUAUUGUUAUUUUAUGAUUUCUUCGUGGUUUGAUUUCCAGUAUUUAGUAUGGGUUUAGUUCUGUGCCAGUCUGUUUCCUGUUUUACUUUGAAAGUUCGUGUCUCAUGUUAGUGUGUCUGGUUUUGCUCCCUUGUCUCAUUAGGUCUGAUUUGUCUCAGCUGUGUUUACUUCCUGUCUCCCUGAUUGCUCCCUCUGUGUAUUUAUGUCCUGUGUUUCUCUUUGUCAGUGUUGCGUUGUACCCUCAUACUAGCCUGUGUUCUGGUUUUCAUGCACAGUUUUUGGCUAUCCCAGUUUAGGUUUUGUUUUGUCUUUUGCCAACAAUAAAGUUGUUUAAGUUCA